rnacentral:rRNA from 1 species
GUGCUAUACAUGCAGUCGAGCGAAUUGUUGAGUUUACUCAACAGUUAGCGGCGGACGGGUGAGUAACACGUGGGCAACCUGCCUAUAAGACUGGGAUAACUUCGGGAAACCGGAGCUAAUACCGGAUAUGUUCUUUUCUCGCAUGAGAGAAGAUGGAAAGACGGCUUCUCGUUGUCCCUUAUAAAGGGGCCCGCGGGGCUUUACUUAGUGGGGGAGGUAAGGGUUCACCAAGGCACCAAUGCGUACCCAACCUGAAAGGGGGAUCGGCCACCCUGGGACUGAAACACGGCCCAAAUUCCUACGGAAGGCAGCAGUAGGAAAUCUUCCGCAUGGAACAAAAGUCUGACGAACCACCGCCGCGGGAACAAUGAAGGUUUUCGGGUCGUAAAGUUCUGUUGUUAGGGAAAAACAAGUACCAAAGUACCGGCUGGUACCUUGACGGUCCCUAACCAGAAAGCCACGGUUAACUACUGGCCAGCAGCCGCGGUAAUACGUAGGUGGCAAGCGUUAUCCGGAAUUAUUGGGCGUAAAGCGCGCGCAGGUGGUUCCUUAAGUCUGAUGUGAAAGCCCCCGGCUCAACCGGGGAGGGUCAUUGGAAACUGGGGAACUUGAGUGUAGAAGAGGAAAGUGGAAUUCCACGUGUAGCGGUGAAAUGCGUAGAGAUGUGGAGGAACACCAGUGGCGAAGGCGACUUUCUGGUCUAUAACUGACACUGAGGCGCGAAAGCGUGGGGAGCAAACAGGAUUAGAUACCCUGGUAGUCCACGCCGUAACCGAUGAGUGCUAGGUGUUAGAGGGUUUCCGCCCUUUAGUGCUGCAGCUAACGCAUUAAGCACUCCGCCUGGGGAGUACGGCCGCAAGGCUGAAACUCAAAUGAAUUGACGGGGGCCCGCACAAGCGGUGGAGCAUGUGGUUUAAUUCGAAGCAACGCGAAGAACCUUACCAGGUCUUGACAUCCUCUGACACUCCUAGAGAUAGGACGUUCCCCUUCGGGGGACAGAGUGACAGGUGGUGCAUGGUUGUCGUCAGCUCGUGUCGUGAGAUGUUGGGUUAAGUCCCGCAACGAGCGCAACCCUUGAUCUUAGUUGCCAGCAUUCAGUUGGGCACUCUAAGGUGACUGCCGGUGAUAAACCGGAGGAAGGUGGGGAUGACGUCAAAUCAUCAUGCCCCUUAUGACCUGGGCUACACACGUGCUACAAUGGAUGGUACAAAGAGCUGCAAACUCGCGAGGGUAAGCGAAUCUCAUAAAGCCAUUCUCAGUUCGGAUUGCAGGCUGCAACUCGCCUGCAUGAAGCCGGAAUCGCUAGUAAUCGCGGAUCAGCAUGCCGCGGUGAAUACGUUCCCGGGCCUUGUACACACCGCCCGUCACACCACGAGAGUUUGUAACACCCGAAGUCGGUGAGGUAACCGCAAGGAGCCAGCCGCCUAAGGUGGGACAGAUGAUUGGGGUGAAGUCGUAACAGGGUAAACCGAAAA